GUGCUCACUUCAGCAGCACAUAUACUAAAAUUGGAAUGGCACAGAAAAGAUUAGCAUGGUCCCUGCACAGGGAUGACAUGCAGAUUCUUAAAGCAUUCCAUGUUUUU
rnacentral:snRNA from 1 species